GAACGAACUUCCGUUAAUUGAUUAUGACGUACUUGUACUGAUUGAGAUUUUAACACGAAGUGAGUGGCGAACGGGUGAGUAACACGUGGGUAACCUGCCCAGAAGUAGGGGAUAACACCUGGAAACAGAUGCUAAUACCGUAUAACAGAGAAAACCGCAUGGUUUUCUUUUAAAAGAUGGCUCUGCUAUCACUUCUGGAUGGACCCGCGGCGUAUUAGCUAGUUGGUGAGGUAAAGGCUCACCAAGGCAGUGAUACGUAGCCGACCUGAGAGGGUAAUCGGCCACAUUGGGACUGAGACACGGCCCAGACUCCUACGGGAGGCAGCAGUAGGGAAUCUUCCACAAUGGACGCAAGUCUGAUGGAGCAACGCCGCGUGAGUGAAGAAGGGUUUCGGCUCGUAAAGCUCUGUUGUUAAAGAAGAACGUGGGUAAGAGUAACUGUUUACCCAGUGACGGUAUUUAACCAGAAAGCCACGGCUAACUACGUGCCAGCAGCCGCGGUAAUACGUAGGUGGCAAGCGUUAUCCGGAUUUAUUGGGCGUAAAGCGAGCGCAGGCGGUCUUUUAAGUCUAAUGUGAAAGCCUUCGGCUCAACCGAAGAAGUGCAUUGGAAACUGGGAGACUUGAGUGCAGAAGAGGACAGUGGAACUCCAUGUGUAGCGGUGAAAUGCGUAGAUAUAUGGAAGAACACCAGUGGCGAAGGCGGCUGUCUGGUCUGCAACUGACGCUGAGGCUCGAAAGCAUGGGUAGCGAACAGGAUUAGAUACCCUGGUAGUCCAUGCCGUAAACGAUGAUUACUAAGUGUUGGAGGGUUUCCGCCCUUCAGUGCUGCAGCUAACGCAUUAAGUAAUCCGCCUGGGGAGUACGACCGCAAGGUUGAAACUCAAAAGAAUUGACGGGGGCCCGCACAAGCGGUGGAGCAUGUGGUUUAAUUCGAAGCUACGCGAAGAACCUUACCAGGUCUUGACAUCUUCUGACAGUCUAAGAGAUUAGAGGUUCCCUUCGGGGACAGAAUGACAGGUGGUGCAUGGUUGUCGUCAGCUCGUGUCGUGAGAUGUUGGGUUAAGUCCCGCAACGAGCGCAACCCUUAUUACUAGUUGCCAGCAUUAAGUUGGGCACUCUAGUGAGACUGCCGGUGACAAACCGGAGGAAGGUGGGGACGACGUCAAAUCAUCAUGCCCCUUAUGACCUGGGCUACACACGUGCUACAAUGGAUGGUACAACGAGUCGCGAGACCGCGAGGUUAAGCUAAUCUCUUAAAACCAUUCUCAGUUCGGACUGUAGGCUGCAACUCGCCUACACGAAGUCGGAAUCGCUAGUAAUCGCGGAUCAGCAUGCCGCGGUGAAUACGUUCCCGGGCCUUGUACACACCGCCCGUCACACCAUGAGAGUUUGUAACACCCAAAGCCGGUGG
rnacentral:rRNA from 1 species